GACGAACGCUGGCGGCGUGCUUAACACAUGCAAGUCGAACGAUCAAGCCUAGCUUGCUAUGUUGUUUAGUUGCCAACGGGUGAGUAAUACGUGAGUAACCUACCUUUAACUCUGGGUUAAGCCCCUUCAACUGGGUCUAGUUCCUGCUACGUCCUAUCUCCACAUGGGUUGUUGGUUGAUAGCAUUAUGUUGUGGUUAUAGAUGGGCUCACGGCCUAUCCGCUUGUUGGUGAUGUAACGGCUCACCAAGGCGACGACGGGUAGCCGGCCCGGGAGGGGGAACGGCCACACUGGGACUGAGAGAGGGAGCAGAAUCCUAUGGGAGGCAGUAGUGGGGAAUAUUGCAGAAUGGGCGCAAGCCUGAGGUAGAGACGCCGCGUGAGGGAUGACGGCCUACGGGGUGUAAACAUAUGUUAGAAGGGAAGAAGAGAGAUUGACGGUACCUGAAGAGAAAGCGACGGCUAACUACGUG
rnacentral:rRNA from 1 species